CGUGGUAUCCUGUCUGAAUAUGGGGGGACCAUCCUCCAAGGCUAAAUACUCCUGACUGACCGAUAGUGAACCAGUACCGUGAGGGAAAGGCGAAAAGAACCCCGGCGAGGGGAGUGAAAAAGAACCUGAAACCGUGUACGUACAAGCAGUGGGAGCACCCUUUGGGGUGUGACUGCGUACCUUUUGUAUAAUGGGUCAGCGACUUAUAUUCUGUAGCAAGGUUAACCGAAUAGGGGAGCCGGAGGGAAACCGAGUCUUAAUUGGGCGUUAAGUUGCAGGGUAUAGACCCGAAACCCGGUGAUCUAGCCAUGGGCAGGUUGAAGGUUGGGUAACACUAACUGGAGGACCGAACCGACUAAUGUUGAAAAAUUAGCGGAUGACCUGUGGCUGGGGGUGAAAGGCCAAUCAAACCGGGAGAUAGCUGGUUCUCCCCGAAAGCUAUUUAGGUAGCGCCUCGUGAAUUCAUCUCCGGGGGUAGAGCACUGUUUCGGCUAGGGGGCCAUCCCGGCUUACCAACCCGAUGCAAACUGCGAAUACCGGAGAAUGUUAUCACGGGAGACACACGGCGGGUGCUAACGUCCGUCGUGAAGAGGGAAACAACCCAGACCGCCAGCUAAGGUCCCAAAGUCAUGGUUAAGUGGGAAACGAUGUGGGAAGGCCCAGACAGCCAGGAUGUUGGCUUAGAAGCAGCCAUCAUUUAAAGAAAGCGUAAUAGCUCACUGGUCGAGUCGGCCUGCGCGGAAGAUGUAACGGGGCUAAACCAUGCACCGAAGCUGCGGCAGCGACGCUGAUGCGUUGUUGGGUAGGGGAGCGUUCUGUAAGCCUGCGAAGGUGGCCUGUGAGGGUUGCUGGAGGUAUCAGAAGUGCGAAUGCUGACAUAAGUAACGAUAAAGCGGGUGAAAAGCCCGCUCGCCGGAAGACCAAGGGUUCCUGUCCAACGUUAAUCGGGGCAGGGUGAGUCGACCCCUAAGGCGAGGCCGAAAGGCGUAGUCGAUGGGAAACGGGUUAAUAUUCCCGUACUUGGUGUUACUGCGAAGGGGGGACGGAGAAGGCUAUGUUGGCCGGGCGACGGUUGUCCCGGUUUAAGCGUGUAGGUGUGUGUUCCAGGUAAAUCCGGUUCACUUUAACACUGAGGCGUGAUGACGAGGCACUACGGUGCUGAAGCAACAAAUGCCCUGCUUCCAGGAAAAGCCUCUAAGCAUCAGGUAACAUCAAAUCGUACCCCAAACCGACACAGGUGGUCAGGUAGAGAAUACCAAGGCGCUUGAGAGAACUCGGGUGAAGGAACUAGGCAAAAUGGUGCCGUAACUUCGGGAGAAGGCACGCUGACACGUAGGUGAAGUGAUUUACUCAUGGAGCUGAAGUCAGUCGAAGAUACCAGCUGGCUGCAACUGUUUAUUAAAAACACAGCACUGUGCAAACACGAAAGUGGACGUAUACGGUGUGACGCCUGCCCGGUGCCGGAAGGUUAAUUGAUGGGGUCAGCGCAAGCGAAGCUCCUGAUCGAAGCCCCGGUAAACGGCGGCCGUAACUAUAACGGUCCUAAGGUAGCGAAAUUCCUUGUCGGGUAAGUUCCGACCUGCACGAAUGGCGUAAUGAUGGCCAGGCUGUCUCCACCCGAGACUCAGUGAAAUUGAACUCGCUGUGAAGAUGCAGUGUACCCGCGGCAAGACGGAAAGACCCCGUGAACCUUUACUAUAGCUUGACACUGAACAUUGAGCCUUGAUGUGUAGGAUAGGUGGGAGGCUUUGAAGUGUGGACGCCAGUCUGCAUGGAGCCGGCCUUGAAAUACCACCCUUUAAUGUUUGAUGUUCUAACGUGGACCCGUGAUCCGGGUUGCGGACAGUGUCUGGUGGGUAGUUUGACUGGGGCGGUCUCCUCCUAAAGAGUAACGGAGGAGCACGAAGGUUGGCUAAUCCUGGUCGGACAUCAGGAGGUUAGUGCAAUGGCAUAAGCCAGCUUGACUGCGAGCGUGACGGCGCGAGCAGGUGCGAAAGCAGGUCAUAGUGAUCCGGUGGUUCUGAAUGGAAGGGCCAUCGCUCAACGGAUAAAAGGUACUCCGGGGAUAACAGGCUGAUACCGCCCAAGAGUUCAUAUCGACGGCGGUGUUUGGCACCUCGAUGUCGGCUCAUCACAUCCUGGGGCUGAAGUAGGUCCCAAGGGUAUGGCUGUUCGCCAUUUAAAGUGGUACGCGAGCUGGGUUUAGAACGUCGUGAGACAGUUCGGUCCCUAUCUGCCGUGGGCGCUGGAGAACUGAGGGGGGCUGCUCCUAGUACGAGAGGACCGGAGUGGACGCAUCACUGGUGUUCGGGUUGUCAUGCCAAUGGCACUGCCCGGUAGCUAAAUGCGGAAGAGAUAAGUGCUGAAAGCAUCUAAGCACGAAACUUGCCCCGAGAUGAGUUCUCCCUGAGACUUAGAGUCUCCUGAAGGAACGUUGAAGACGACGACGUUGAUAGGCCGGGUGUGUAAGCGCAGCGAUGCGUUGAGCUAACCGGUACUAAUGAACCGUGAGGCUUAACCUUACAACGCCGAAG
rnacentral:rRNA from 1 species